CAGUAGCCGCGGUAAGACAGAGGAUGCAAGCGUUAAUCGGAAUUACUGGGCGUAAAGCGUGCGUAGGCGGUGAGUUAAGUCUGCUGUGAAAUCCCCGGGCUCAACCUGGGAAUGGCAGUGGAUACUGGCUCGCUAGAGUGUGUCAGAGGAUGGUAGAAUUCCACGUGUAGCAGUGAAAUGCGUAGAUAUCGGAAGGAACACCUGUGGCGAAAGCGGCUCACUGGACCAUUUCUGACGCUGAUGCACGAAAGCUAGGGGAGCAAACAGGAUUAGAUACCCGGGUAGUCCCUGUCUCUUAUAC
rnacentral:rRNA from 1 species